AGAGCGAACGCUGGCGGCAGGCCUAACACAUGCAAGUCGAGCGCCCGUAGCAAUACGGGAGCGGCAGACGGGAUAGUAACACGUGGGAACGCGCCCUUCGGUUCGGAAUAACUCAGGGAAACUUGAGCUAAUACCGGAUACGCCCUUACGGGGAAAGAUUUAUUGCCGAAGGAACGGCCCGCGUCCGAUUAGCUAGUUGGUGAGGUAAUGGCUCACCAAGGCUACGAUCGGUAGCUGGUCUGAGAGGAUGACCAGCAUCACUGGGACUGAGACACGGCCCAGACUCCUACGGGAGGCAGCAGUGGGGAAUAUUGGACAAUGGGCGCAAGCCUGAUCCAGCCAUGCCGCGUGGAUGAUGAAGGCCUUAGGGUUGUAAAGUCCUUUUAACGGGGAAGAUAAUGACGGUACCCGUAGAAUAAGCCCCGGCUAACUUCGUGCCAGCAGCCGCA
rnacentral:rRNA from 1 species